AACGUAGGUUCCGAGCGUUAUCCGGAUUUACUGGGCGUAAAGCGCGUUCAGGCGGUUUGGCAAGUCGGGCAUGAAAUCUCUCGGCUCAACCGGGAGAGGUUGUCCGAUACUGCUGGACUUGAGGGCAGUAGAGGGUGGUGGAAUUCCGGGUGUAGUGGUGAAAUGCGUAGAUAUCCGGAGGAACACCAGUGGCGAAAGCGGCCACCUGGACUGUACCUGACGCUCAAACGCGAAAGCUAGGGAGCGAACGGG
rnacentral:rRNA from 1 species